ACCUCCCCCGCCCCCGCCAUCUUUUCCCUUGGAAACGGCCUCAGAGAUUCCGGAAGGUGCUUCCUUACUUCUGAGCGGCCUGUGUGGGAGGAAGCUGAGGACGUGAGGGUACUGACUGAGAGAGCAGCUCCACCUCAGAUCAUCAGGGAUUAGAUCCCAGAGGUUGGGAACCCCUGUCCUAGAGAACCUGCCUGCAAAGCCUAAAAUAUUUGCCAGCUGGCCCUUUACAGAGAAAGUUUGUGGAUACCUGCUUGGAUGCACAGUGCUUGGUUUGGAGCGUGGCGACAGACGGGCUGAGCUGAGAACUGGAUCUGUCGGAAGGACGGGCACACUCUCCCAGUUCAACAAUCUGCCUGCAGGAAUCUGAAAGUGACUCGGGAUAUCUUAACUCUUUGAGGAAGCGGGCUGCUUAACUUGGAGUCCCUGUGGGGUCACAGAGCUUGGGGAUUAUCUAUGUCACUGGAGGAGUUAUCUAGCUAGUGCCUCACCAUGCAUCUGCUGAGAAAGCAUUCAUCAUUCCUGCACAUGUGUCCUUCAGCACCUGUGUGUAUGUGUGUGUGCGGCUGUAUACCUGAAUUUACAUAAUCUGUGGGUUUUAAGUCUCCCAGCUACGAAAAUCAAGUGUUUAUCCUGCCUUUUCCACACAAACUCUCUCAAGGUUACCGCAUGGUUGAUGAAGGGAUGCAAGGCUCUAGCUACAAGCCAGCUGGCACGGUGGGGUGGGAAGAGCACUGCUCUGCGGUCUGUAAUGAAUGACUAGGUCCAGGCGCGACCCACCAGUGGCUGCCAACAUCACAAGAAGAGAUCAGACAUCAUACACCUCCUGAUGGAAGAAAUACAGGUGACAAGAGGAGCCUAUGCAAUGACCCCCAAGGGGAUGUAAUCAAUAAAUUCAGACUGUGGGAAGUGCUGUAGAAUAAAUGACCUGUUUCCUUAACAAAAAACUUCCCAGGAAAAGAAAAGAGAGGUGGAGAAUCUAUAAAUUAAGAGAGAUUUAUUAAGGGACAUAUCGACAAUGGCAAUGUAUACACCUUAUUUGCAUCCUGAUUCAAACACACUGGGAAAAUCUGAACACUGACUGAAUAUAAUAUUAAAGGACCAUUGUUAAAAA